rnacentral:rRNA from 1 species
AACGAACGCUGGCGGCAUGCCUAACACAUGCAAGUCGAACGAGCCCUUCGGGUCUAGUGGCGCCCGGGUGCGUAACGCGUGGGAACCUGCCCUUAGGUUCGGAAUACCUCCCCGAAAGGGGUGCUAAUACCGGAUAAUGUCUUCGGACCAAAGAUUUAUCGCCUUUGGAUGGGCCCGCGUUGGAUUAGCUAGUUGGUAGGGUAAAAGCCUACCAAGGCGACGAUCCAUAGCUGGUCUGAGAGGAUGAUCAGCCACACUGGGACUGAGACACGGCCCAGACUCCUACGGGAGGCAGCAGUGGGGAAUAUUGGACAAUGGGCGAAAGCAUGAACCAGCAAUGCCGCGUGAGUGAUGAAGGCAGUAGGGUUGUAAAGUUCUUUUACCCGGGAUGAUAAUGACAGUACCGGGAGAAUAAGCCCCGGCUAACUCCGUG